UUCCACAGGUACUGGCCUGCAGUUGUUCUUAAUGGUAAAAGUUGUGGCAUUCCUUUGUGGGAAAGAAACUGUUACACAGUUAAACACAGGAAGAGGGCAUACAGUGUGACAGACACAA